rnacentral:rRNA from 1 species
GACGAACGCUGGCGGCGUGCUUAACACAUGCAAGUCGAACGGAAAGGCCCUGCUUUUGUGGGGUGCUCGAGUGGCGAACGGGUGAGUAACACGUGAGUAACCUGCCCUUGACUUUGGGAUAACUUCAGGAAACUGGGGCUAAUACCGGAUAGGAGCUCCUGCUGCAUGGUGGGGGUUGGAAAGUUUCGGCGGUUGGGGAUGGACUCGCGGCUUAUCAGCUUGUUGGUGGGGUAGUGGCUUACCAAGGCUUUGACGGGUAGCCGGCCUGAGAGGGUGACCGGCCACAUUGGGAAUGGGAUACGGCCCAGACUCCUACGGGAGGCAGGAGUGGGGAAUAUUGCACAAUGGGCGGAAGCCUGAUGCAGCAACGCCGCGUGCGGGAUGACGGCCUUCGGGUUGUAAACCGCUUUCGCCUGUGACGAAGCGUGAGGGACGGUAAUGGGUAAAGAAGCACCGGCUAACUACGU